UACUCCAGCUGUUUGUCAUUUUUCAGUAGUAGUUGCUGGUUCAUUUGACAAAGUCUUUUUUAUGGUGAAAUCAUGUAUUUUCAUCAUGCUGCCAGCAUAUCAAGGCAAACGAAAUAACAGUUUAGAUUACUUCAUUAAACAAUGAGUAAAAUAAAGUUAUGUUAAGUGAAGCAAGUGAUUUCAAUCUAGAGAAGGUCGCUGGUAACGGGCCACUGUUGGACAUGUUCAACCAGAGAAUAUGAGAAACAGCAACCAAAAUAAGCAAAUCAAACAGGAUUUUACAUGUAAAACAUCAGUCACAUGGUCUCCUAUUUCAACUGCUGGCUCACUACCGGUUAUUGUCUGCCAGCUGACCUCUCCCCUUCAGACAAGUUCUCCAUUUCCAGGAAUCCUAUACUGCCAUCUUCUGCACAUUAUUACGACGAACUGAGCCUCCUUCUCACCAAACAAUCUGCCCUGGCCUUAUCCUCAACCUUCUUCCAACCAUACCUCACACUCCUAUUGCUUUGGUGUUUAUUAUGUUGAUAUUAACUUUAUGAAUGAAAUCUUUUAAUGAAUAUAAUAUAAUCUUUUUAAUCAAUAUAAACUUAGUUUACAUUUUUUGGUCAUUAGCUUUUUCACUUAUGGCUCCUGUGGCAUGCCAGCCAUCAGAGGGAUGAAUGUUCACCAUCUCUUUGAAUGUUAAUUUUUUUGUUUUUUGAAUUUCUUCCCUAAAAUGCUAAUGUUUUUUUGUUUAAUUUUGGCUUGAUGAUUCAAGUGCUGCAAGCUACACUGUUGAGCUUUAUAUUUUUCCUAGAAAUCUCCUGUUCUGUGUAGAGUUCAGCUCUGAAAAACUCACACAGAUCAACAGUUGCUGAAGUAAAAGAAAAAAACAACACUGCAAUUUCUUUAUAUAUAUAUAUAAUUUGCUGAUCAAUUUUUGCCAUUUCUUAAAUAAACCCUUUAUCACGAUGUUGUACCAUCUUUGUCUAAUACAUUAUUCAUUAUUACUGUUGAUGUUAAAUUAUCUGGUCUCUUUUACCCUUAUAUAUACAUGGUUAAUGAAACAAGUAAAUGUGGCAAACGUAUUUUCAUCGUCCAUCAUCGUUGUUUAAAUGCCUGUUAAAUAAAUUCAGUACAAGUAAACAUGUUACUGAAGCAACUCAACUCAAAUAGGUGAUGACUGUACCCUACCCUAACCCUAUCACAUCACAUAAAAUAAAUAACCACGACGAGAUUAUAAUUACGCCUAAAGCUGACAAUAGGGCUAAAACCAUGGAUGUAUUAAUGAGACACAUAAACCAACUGGCCACGUUUUACAACUUAACCCGGCGACAUAUCAUAGUCAGGAUCGGAAAAUAACAAUAAAUCGAGUCAAAACGUGCUGUGCCCUUGGAUGUGCAGUAUAAUAAAAGUUGUUUUAGUAAUUGGUCUACAACUAAUUCUACGUAAAAUUCUGUUUAUGUCGUGCUGUAGCUACUAGCAUAGCCGGUAGAACUGGAUGACAUACAUGAACGUGCAGGGCGGCGCAGUCCCGUGGCUCUGAUGCGUGUUCAUUAUGCCUAGGAAAAUAGCUCUGGAUUCAGCUAUUAGUGAAUUUUACAAAUUUUAAAACAUAAUCUUUUAAAUAAGGGCUAUUUAAGUGUUCGUACUGGGAAGUUCAUGUACCUCAAAAAAAAUUAUCCACUGAUUUACAGACGUCUCUUUCACAAUAUUACCUGAUCAAGACAUGCUUUUUUUAAUUUGCUUUACUGAAAGGAGAGUCGUGUGAAGGCAUGAGGUGGGGUUCCACCUCCAAAACCUCUCUCAAAUGAGGCAGGGAUGGUAAUGGGCAUUACUGGUCACGACUCACCUACCGUGGUUCGAAUUACUGGCGGAGGGAGAACGGUAGUCAAUUGAAGAAUGAGCCAGAUGAGGAAAUGAGGGAGCACAUCUGUCAUGCCUCUCAGCCCAGUGAACCCUCCAAAGACAUCAAGUGUCAAAGUAAGAAGUUAUUGUUAAUUCUUUCUUAUCAAUUAAUUUUUCUCAAAAUCUCAAUCCAAACAUACUGUAAAAUAAAGAUUGUUUUUUACUCUAAUGAAGUAUUCAAUUAUAUUUCUUAUUGCAGUGCAGUUAAAGUUCACAUACAUUUUAAAACUUUACUAGUUAGUGUCUUGUGCAACCUUUUUGUAUGCCGCUGAAGUUGCAUUAUUGCUUGUCCCCUCUUUUUUUCAUGACUGAAAAAACGGAGAUGGUCCAUCUGUUCUGACACUCCAAAAGGAAGUUUUGCUUCUCCAAAAAAGGAAAUUAGCGCUUCAGAUUGAGAACCUGGCCAUAGAGAAGAACAAUUUGGAUGUGCAGAAUAUUUUACUGCAACACAAAAUAAGCCAGCUCUCAAGAGAGACAAUCACACUGUGGCUGCUCUUGAGGAGGGAAAAGAUUAAGUCAAAAUGAAUGAGAGAAAUAUGCAUGUUUACAAAAACAAAUAUUAGAACAAAUGCAAAACAAAGAUGUAUAUUGUUUACUUAUUAUUUAUUUACAUGUGUAUUUGGGUUGUAUUUGUAUUUGAAAUGUCUAUAAGUUGAAAAUGACUGAUAUAAUUAAAGGGAAACUUUGCUGAUUUUCAACCAGCUUUGUAUCAUUACAAUAUAGGAAGUAUAUGCAAAUAAACAAUGUUUAACUUUCCUUCAUGUUGCCUGUACCCGGGGCUCGAAGGCUGUUGUUCGAACUACAGGAUCAAAUUCAUUAGUGAGGACAUGGUAUUGAUUUAUCAAAGCAGCAGCAAAUACUAAGUUGGUGCUUUUUAGAUACUCAUUGCUCACAGCUAUUGCUGGCUAUUACAGUACUGUAUUAAACUAAAGGUUGAUAAACCAUAGAGAUGCUGAGCUACAGAUUUUCACAACAACCAAGACAUCAAAUGUUAGUUUUAUGCCAGUAUAACUGUUGCAGUACUUACUCAAAUAAAUUGGUUAUAUUAAUCCUAAUGCAACAGCUAGAAUCCUAAAAGUACUUCAUUUUGUAGUCUAUCGCUGCUACUUCUGUUUGCAAAACUGAGACUUUUGUUUUAUCUAUUGCAAUAACAUUGAAAUUGACAUUUUAAAAAGCAUAUAGGAAAUUUGUCAAUAAGGAUUUUUUUAAUCUGAAUCAGCAAAAUUAAUAGCUAUUAUUGCACAGUCCACCAUCAUACCCAGAAGUCUGUUCUGUGGGGCUACAGAACAGGUGAACCCAGGUGCAGACACAGAUGAGGAGAUAGGAAUAAGGUAAAAUGAUAUUUAUUGCAGAGUCAGUCAAUUAUGUUUAUAUAAUGCAAACCUGCUCAGUAUGGCAAGUGCCCUGAGAUAACUUCAUUGUUGGUUUAUAUAGUGCAAAAUCACAACUGAAGUUAUCUCAGACUCUCAUGUCAAAAUGCCGAAUUUUACAGCAGAAAUAAACAUGUUUACAGCCUGGUACAAAAAACGGUUUUGGUCUCUAUAGCUAAU